rnacentral:rRNA from 1 species
AGUGAACGCUGGCGGUAGGCCUAACACAUGCAAGUCGAACGGCAGCACAGUAAGAGCUUGCUCUUACGGGUGGCGAGUGGCGGACGGGUGAGGAAUACAUCGGAAUCUACUUUUUCGUGGGGGAUAACGUAGGGAAACUUACGCUAAUACCGCAUACGACCUACGGGUGAAAGCAGGGGAUCUUCGGACCUUGCGCGAUUGAAUGAGCCGAUGUCGGAUUAGCUAGUUGGCGGGGUAAAGGCCCACCAAGGCGACGAUCCGUAGCUGGUCUGAGAGGAUGAUCGGCCACACUGGAACUGAGACACGGUCCAGACGCCUACGGGAGGCAGCAGUGGGGAAUAUUGGACAAUGGGCGCAAGCCUGAUCCAGCCAUACCGCGUGGGUGAAGAAGGCCUUCGGGUUGUAAAGCCCUUUUGUUGGGAAAGAAAAGCAGCAGGUUAAUACCACGCUGUUCUGACGGUACCCAAAGAAUAAGCACCGGCUAACUUCGUG